UUAAAUAUAGUGAAAAUUAUAUAUUGGAAUUAAUCCCUUGUGUUAAAUACACACAUAGGGUUCUCUAUUUAUAAUAGAAGAAAUAUGGGCUAAGUCCAAAUACAAAUGAAUAUGUAAGAAUAAAAUAAAAUAAAAUAAGAAUAAUGUUUCCCUAAUAAACAUAUAGGGACUAUAUUUCCCUAAUUAACAUAAACACAAUAUAAACUAAAUAUAAUUUCUCUAACACUCCCCCUCAAGUUGGAGCAUACAGAUUGUAUGGACCAAGCUUGGAAUAAAUAAACUCAAUUUGAAAUAUAUGAUCGGUCUUCAAGAGUGAGCAGCAAAC
rnacentral:lncRNA from 1 species